CGGAAUAUAGCGCAGUUUGGUAGCGUCCCAUCUUGGGGUGAUGGAGGUCGCAGGUUCAAAUCCUGUUAUUCCGA
rnacentral:tRNA from 1 species